GUUGACCUCGGAUCAGGUAGGGAUACCCGCUGAACUUAAGCA
rnacentral:rRNA from 26 species